rnacentral:misc_RNA from 1 species
AAGUCGUAACAAGGUUUCCGUAGGUGAACCUGCGGAAGGAUCAUUAAUGAGUUAGGGUCCCAUGGGCCCGAUCUCCAACCCUUUGUUAAAACCACUUUGUUGCUUUGGCAGGCCCGUCUUUCGGGACCGCCGGAGGGGUUCAGUCACCUCUGGUCAGUGCUUGUCAGUAGCCUAUUUAAAUUCUUCUUAACGAUGAAUGUCUGAUUAAUAAUUAUAAAUUUAAUUAAAACUUUCAACAACGGAUCUCUUGGUUCUG